CCAUGAUGAUACAAAUUUGUUAUGAUCAUACUGCAUUUUGAAGUUUUGGGGAACGUUUUGGCGAGCAUGGAUGCUGUUUAUUUUAGUUGGACGCCCACUGCAAAAUCUGUUUUGGAGUUUGUUCGAUCUGUUCGUGAUGAUACCAAUCUGUUAUGAUCCUAUUGCACUUGCAACUUUUAGGGGAGCUGAAUCCUUUCUUGGGAACGUUUUGGGGAGCAUGGAGGCGGUUUAUCUGAGUCGGAAGCCCGCUGCAAAAUCUGUUUUGGAGUUUGUUCGAUCUGUCCAUGAUGAUACAAAUUUGUUAUGAUCAUACUGCAUUUUGAAGUUUUGGGGAACGUUUUGGCGAGCAUGGAUGCUGUUUAUUUUUUAGUUGGACGCCCACUGCAAAAUCUGUUUUGGAGUUUGUUCGAUCUGUUCGUGAUGAUACCAAUCUGUUAUGAUCCUAUUGCACUUGCAACUUUUAGGGUAUUUUU